rnacentral:rRNA from 1 species
GACGAACGCUGGCGGCGUGCUUAACACAUGCAAGUCGAACGGAAAGGCCCUGCUUUUGUGGGGUGCUCGAGUGGCGAACGGGUGAGUAACACGUGAGUAACCUGCCCUUGACUUUGGGAUAACUUCAGGAAACUGGGGCUAAUACCGGAUAGGAGCUCCUGCUGCAUGGUGGGGGUUGGAAAGUUUCGGCGGUUGGGGAUGGACUCGCGGGUUAUCAGCUUGUUGGUGGGGUAGUGGCUUACCAAGGCUUUGACGGGUAGCCGGCCUGGGAGGGUGACCGGCCACAUUGGGACUGAGAUACGGCCCAGACUCCUACGGGAGGCAGCAGUGGAGAAUAUUGCACAGUGGGCGGAAGCCUGAUGCAGCAACGCCGCGUGCGGGAUGACGGCCUUCGGGUUGUAAACCGCUUUCGCCUGUGACGAAGCGUGAGUGACGGUAAUGGGUAAAGAAGCACCGGCUAACUACGUG